rnacentral:rRNA from 1 species
CAGUAGCCGCGGGAAUACGGAGGGCGCGAGCGUUACCCGGAUUUACUGGGCGUAAAGGGCGUGUAGGCGGCCUGGGGCGUCCCAUGUGAAAGGCCACGGCUCAACCGUGGAGGAGCGUGGGAUACGCUCAGGCUAGAGGGUGGGAGAGGGUGGUGGAAUUCCCGGAGUAGCGGUGAAAUGCGCAGAUACCGGGAGGAACGCCGAUGGCGAAGGCAGCCACCUGGUCCACUUCUGACGCUGAGGCGCGAAAGCGUGGGGAGCAAACCGGAUUAGAGACCCCCGUAGUCCAUGUCUCUUAUAC